UACGUAGGCAGCGAGCGUUGUUCGGAAUUACUGGGCGUAAAGAGUGCGUAGGCGGUGCUCUAAGUUCGGUGUGAAAUCUCCUGGCUUAACUGGGAGGGUGCGCCGGAAACUGGAGUGCUUGAGCGUGGGAGAGGAAAGCGGAAUUCCUGGUGUAGCGGUGAAAUGCGUAGAUAUCAGGAGGAACACCUGUGGUGUAGACGGCUUUCUGGACCAUUGCUGACGCUGAGACACGAAAGCGUGGGUAGCAAACAGG
rnacentral:rRNA from 1 species